CCUUAGAUGUUCUGGGCCGCACGCGCGUUACACUGACGGAGCCAGCGAGUACUCCCUUGGCCGGAAGGCCCGGGUAAUCUUGUUAAACUCCGUCGUGCUGGGGAUAGAGCAUUGCAAUUAUUGCUCUUCAACGAGGAAUCCCUAGUAAGCGCAAGUCAUCAGCUUGCGUUGAUUACGUCCCUGCCCUUUGUACACACCGCCCGUCGCUACUACCGAUUGAAUGGCUCAGUGAGGCUUUCGGACUGGCCCAGAGAGGUGGGCAACUACCACUCAGGGCCGGAAAGUUAUCCAAACUCGGUCAUUUAGAGGAAGUAAAAGUCGUAACAAGGUCUCCGUUGGUGAACCAGCGGAGGGAUCAUUACUGA
rnacentral:rRNA from 1 species